rnacentral:misc_RNA from 1 species
GAGUUUCCCUGAUCAACACAAACUUAUUUGAGAAUAACCCAAGAAUUAAAGAAGCUCAAUAUCAUCCAUAUAAUCUAGGGAAAAUGUUGAAAGAUUAAAUUUUAACUUGAAUUCUACUCUCUCUCUCUCUCUCUAAAUAAACCCAUUUGUUUCUCACUCUAAAACUUACAAUUUUUCACCAUAAACUCUUAUUUCCUACCAAAAUUUAGUUGAUCCUCCAUGAAAAUGAAGUUUAGAACAAUUUUUUCUCCCUUGCUCUCUCUCUCUUUUCCUUCCUUCCUCAUUGUUUUCUUUCCUCUUCUUCCCCUCUCUUUCUUCUCUUCUUUUUCCUCCUCUCCU